rnacentral:rRNA from 1 species
AUACGUAGGGGGCGAGCGUUGUCCGGAAUGACUGGGCGUAAAGGGCGUGUAGGCGGCCGAUUAAGUCUGGAGUGAAAGUCCCGCUUUCAAGGUGGGAAUUGCUUUGGAGACUGGUUGGCUUGAGUGCGGAAGAGGGAAGUGGAAUUCCCAGUGUAGCGGUGAAAUGCGUAGAGAUUGGGAGGAACACCAGUGGCGAAGGCGACUUACUGGUCCGUAACUGACGCUGAGGCGCGAAAGCGUGGGGAGCGAACAGGAUUAGAUACCCUGGUAGUCCACGCUGUAAACGAUGAAUGCUAGGUGUAGGGGGUAUCGACCCCUCCUGUGCCGGAGUAAACGCAAUAAGCAUUCCGCCUGGGGAGUACGGCCGCAAGGUUGAAACUCAAAGGAAUUGACGGGG